UUAGAGUGUGAUCCUGGCUCAGGAUGAACGCUAGCUACAGGCUUAACACAUGCAAGUCGAGCGGUAUGUGCUUUAGUGCAUACAGCGGCAGACGGGUGAGCAACACGUAUCUAACCUUCCCCUUACUUGGGCAUAGCCUCUGGAAACGGAGAUUAAUUUCCGAUGUGGUGUACAUUUCGCAUGUUUUGCGCACCAAAGAUUUAUCGGUAAGGGAUGGGGAUGCGCUCCAUUAGGUUGUAGGUAGGGUAAUGGCCUACCUAGCCUAUGAUGGAUAGGGGUUCUGAGAGGAAGGUCCCCCACAUUGGAACUGCGACACGGUCCAAACUCCUACGGGAGGCAGCAGUGAGGAAUAUUGGUCAAUGGCCGGAAGGCUGAACCAGCCAAGUAGCGUGCAGGAUGACUGCCUUAUGGGUUGUAAACUGCUUUUUUACGGGAAUAAUUAUGAUCACGUGUGAUUAUUUGCAUGUACCGUAAGAAUAAGGAUCGGCUAACUCCGUGCCAGCAGCCGCGGUAAUACGGAGGAUCCUAGUGUUAUCCGGAUUUAUUGGGUUUAAAGGGUGCGUAGGCGGAAAUGUAAGUCAGUGGUGAAAUCCUGCAGCUUAACUGUAGAAUAGCCGUUGAAACUGUGUUUCUUGAGUACAUUUGAGGUAGGCGGAAUGUGGUGUGUAGCGGUGAAAUGCAUAGAUAUACCACAGAACACCGAUUGCGAAGGCAGCUUACUAAACUGUCACUGACGCUGAUGCACGAAAGCGUGGGUAUCAAACAGGAUUAGAUACCCUGGUAGUCCACGCUGUAAAACGAUGAUUACUGGUUGUUUGCGAUACACUGCAAGUGACUGAGCGAAAGCAUUAAGUAAUCCACCUGGGGAGUACGUCGGCAACGAUGAAACUCAAAGGAAUUGACGGGGGCCCGCACAAGCGGAGGAACAUGUGGUUUAAUUCGAUGAUACGCGAGGAACCUUACCUGGGUUUAAAUGGGGAGUGACAGGCUUGGAAACAGGCCCUUCUUCGGACACUCUUCAAGGUGCUGCAUGGUUGUCGUCAGCUCGUGCCGUGAGGUGUCGGGUUAAGUCCCAUAACGAGCGCAACCCUUAUUGUUAGUUGCCAUCAUUAAGUUGGGCACUCUAGCGAGACUGCCCGGGUUAACCGGGAGGAAGGUGGGGAUGACGUCAAAUCAUCAUGCCCCUUAUGUCUAGGGCUACACACGUGCUACAAUGGUCGGUACAAUAAGACGCAAGCCCGCGAGGGGGAGCAAAACUGGAAAACCGAUCUCAGUUCGGAUUGUAGGCUGAAACUCGCCUACAUGAAGCUGGAGUUGCUAGUAAUCGCGAAUCAGCAUGUCGCGGUGAAUAAAAGGCCGGGCCUUGCACACACCGCCCGUCAAG
rnacentral:rRNA from 1 species